UACGUAGGGGGCAAGCGUUGUCCGGAAUCAUUGGGCGUAAAGCGCGCGUAGGCGGCCCUGUAAGUCCGUUGUGAAAGUCAAAGGCUCAACCUUUGAAAGCCGAUGGAUACUGCAGGGCUAGAGUCCGGAAGAGGCGAGUGGAAUUCCUGGUGUAGCGGUGGAAUGCGCAGAUAUCAGGAGGAACACCAAUAGCGAAGGCAGCUCGCUGGGACGGUACUGACGCUAAGGCGCGAAAGCGUGGGAGCGAACAGG
rnacentral:rRNA from 1 species